CACGUAGGCGGAUAUUUAAGUCAGGGGUGAAAUCCCAGAGCUCAACUCUGGAACUGCCUUUGAUACUGGGUAUCUUGAGUAUGGAAGAGGUAAGUGGAAUUGCGAGUGUAGAGGUGAAAUUCGUAGAUAUUCGCAGGAACACCAGUGGCGAAGGCGGCUUACUGGUCCAUAACUGACGCUGAGGUGCGAAAGCGUGGGGAGCAAACA
rnacentral:rRNA from 1 species